AUUCGCGUGUAGCAGUGAAAUGCAUAGAUAUUACUCAGAAUACCGAUUGCGAAGGCAGAUCACUAACAAUUCACUGACGCUGAUGGACGAAAGCGUAGGUAGCGAACAGGAUUAGAUACCCUGGUAGCCUACGCCGUAAACGACGGUUACUAGCUGUUCGGAUCAAUUGAGAUCUGAGUGGCUAAGCGAAAGUGAUAAGUAACCCACCUGGGGAGUACGUUCGCAAGAAUGAAACUCAAAGGAAUUGACGGGGGCCCGCACAAGCGGUGGAGCAUGUGGUUUAAUUCGAUGAUACGCGAGGAACCUUACCAGGGCUUAAAUGCAGUUUGACAGGGGUGGAAACACCUUUUCCUUCGGGCAAAUUGCAAGGUGCUGCAUGGCUGUCGUCAGCU
rnacentral:rRNA from 1 species